rnacentral:lncRNA from 1 species
GGUGGUCAAGUCCUUCAGGUCAUCAGCAAUCAUGGACUAAUCAGACAGCUGGCCAGCAGCAACCUUGGGCUAAUCAGACGCCUGGUCAGCAGCAACAGUGGGCUAAUCAAACGCCUGGUCAGCAGCAACAAUUGGCUAAUCAGACGCCUGGCCAGCAGCAACAGUGGGCUAAUCAAACGCCUGGCCAGCAGCAACAAUGGGCUAAUCAGAAUAAUGGUCACCAGCAACCGUGGGCUAAUCAGAACACUGGUCAUCAGCAAUCAUGGGCUAAUCAGACUCCUAGCCAGCAGCAACCAUGGGCUAAUCAGACAACCGGCCAGCAACAAGGGUGGGGAAAUCAGA